AUUAAAGUGUCCACAAUGAAAGUGUUGCUCUUGACUUUGUUCGCGACAUCGUAUGUCAUCAAUGUCAACUGCUACUUGCCAUCAUUCAUCACACCAUGCCACAUAAGCGACUCCUCCUGCAUGAUAUCCUCGGCACAGAGGGCGUUGCCGUACGUGGCGAGAGGCGUGCCAGACUUGAACAUGGACAGACUCGACCCGCUGGAGAUCAGAGAAGUGAAGGCAGACCAGGCGGGACUCAAGAUGCACUUCACCGACUCCACCAUUAAGGGACUGAGGAACUGUUUGGUUUUGAAUGUGAAACGCGUACGGGAGAGUCUUCUGACGGAGUUGCAGUGUUCCGUCGUGCUGGAGGGAGACUACUACAUCAAAGGAAACCUGUUUAUAUACCCCAUUAACAGCAACGGGAAGUACGAGAUCGAAAUACGUGACAUUGUGGUGUCGGUGUUCUUGGACCUCGACGAGCGUCAGGACGGGGAUAAGAAGUACUGGCACGUGAAGAGCUGGAAACAUAGCGCGGAUGUACGAACCGGAGUCACCUACCACUUUGAGAACUUGAUCCCGAGAGAUCCUAAGCUGGCACAAACCAUCACGAAGUUCGCCAACUCAAACUGGAAGCUCAUCUUCAAUGACCUGGCCACGCCUUUCUUGAAGGCAAUUGUCUCCAGGAUUGUCAGGGAGACAUCCAAACUGUUCCAGGCUGUUCCAGUCGAUGAACUUUCACUCGAU